UCCUGGACUCAAGCGAUUCUCUUCAGCUCCCCCAAGUAGCUGGGACUACAGGAGCAUGCCACCACAUCUGGCUAAUUUUGUUUCUACUUUUUAUUUUUGUAGAGGCUUGGUCUUAUUAUAUUGCCCAAGCUGGUUUCGAACUCCUGGGCUCAAGCAAUCCUCCUCGGCCUCCCAAAGUGCUGGGAUUACAGGCGUGAGCCACUGCUCCUGGUCCUAAAAUAGCUUUUAGGCGGAAAAACAGCAAUGGAAAUUUGUUGAGUCCUAUGAUGUUGCUGGUUUUAUAGUCUUUAAUUUUUACCUAAUAUCCUUUUUCGGUCCCAGGAUCUCAUCCAGGAUGCCACAUUACAUGUCUCCUUAGGCUCCUCUAGAUCGACAGUUCCUGACUUUCAUUGCUUUUGCUGACCUUGACAGUUUUGUAGAGUACUGGUAGGUUUUGUAGAAAGUGUCUUAAUUUGGGUUGUCGAAUUUUUUUUUGAGACGAGGUCACGCUCUGUCGUCCAGGCUAGAGUGCAGUGGCACGAUCUCGG
rnacentral:lncRNA from 10 species